rnacentral:rRNA from 1 species
UCGAAGAGUUUGAUCCUGGCUCAGGAUGAACGCUGGCGGUGUGCCUUAUACAUGCAUGUCGAACGAGGCGUAGCAAUACGUCUAGUGGCAAAUGGGUGAGUAAUAAAUAGGUAACCAACCCUUAAGACGGGGAUACCCCAUCGAAAGAUGGAAUAAUACCCGAUAAUGUCCCUUCCGGUGCGCUGGAGGGGAAGAAAGAUGGCGCAAGCUAUCACUUUUGGACGGGCUUAUUUCCUAUCAGCUAGUUGGUGAGGUAACGGCUUACCAAGGCUACGACGGGUAGCUGGUCUGAGAGGACGGUCAGCCACAUUGGGACUGCGACACGGCCCAGACUCCUACGGGAGGCAGCAGUCGGGAAUAUUGCGCAAUGGAGGAAACUCUGACGCAGUGACGCCGCGUGCAGGAAGAAGGUUUUCGGAUUGUAAACUGCUUUAGACAGGGAAGAGAAAGG